CUGAGAUUACCUCUGGAAAUGAGUCACCAUUCAAGCUGCACAUUUGUUCUUCUCGUUGGCAGCUGAUAGCUGGACAUGUCUGCCUUUGGCACUUACAGAAUUUUGACUUCCUUUUUCUUGGCUCCUCCAAACACCUCAUGUUUUCAUUAUGCCUUGGCUGCAACAUCUUGAUGGUUCACUCUUGUCAUCUCGCCGCCAUGCACCGCUCAUCCCGUGAUGGUCCUGCUCGACAAGACACCAGCAGAAUGGGUGUCAGGAAGGUUGGACUGCAAAGUUGUGUCACCUGGAAUUGGGGAAGCAGAAGGCAAGUCUGGACAUCAAGUGAAUGUCCAU